rfam:Streptomyces sp. SPB74 genomic scaffold supercont3.1, whole genome shotgun sequence.
UCGCGUCACGCGCCGAAGGCAGGAGCGGGGGACCCAAGGUUUGCGUCCCAGUCGGCGCCCGGGAGACCGGGCGCCGGUCCGGGGCUAGGGGUGAAGCCGGGCGGCAGCCGCCGUCCGGCCGGGCAACUCACGGGCCCGAACCCGACAGCUCACCUCGCAGGCGUCGGUGAGGAGAUCC